rnacentral:rRNA from 1 species
AUGAACGCUGGCGGCGUGCCUAAUACAUGCAAGUCGAGCGAACAGACGAGGAGCUUGCUCCUCUGACGUUAGCGGCGGACGGGUGAGUAACACGUGGAUAACCUACCUAUAAGACUGGGAUAACUUCGGGAAACCGGAGCUAAUACCGGAUAAUAUAUUGAACCGCAUGGUUCAAUAGUGAAAGACGGUUUUGCUGUCACUUAUAGAUGGAUCCGCGCCGCAUUAGCUAGUUGGUAAGGUAACGGCUUACCAAGGCAACGAUGCGUAGCCGGCCUGAGAGGGUGAUCGGCCACACUGGAACUGAGACACGGUCCAGACUCCUACGGGAGGCAGCAGUAGGGAAUCUUCCGCAAAGGGCGAAAGCCUGACGGAGCAACGCCGCGUGAGUGAUGAAGGUCUUCGGAUCGUAAAACUCUGUUAUUAGGGAAGAACAAAUGUGUAAGUAACUAUGCACGUCUUGACGGUACCUAAUCAGAAAGCCACGGCUAACUACGUG